GACGAACGCUGGCGGCGUGCCUAAUACAUGCAAGUUGAGCGAUGAAGAUUGGUGCUUGCACCAAUUUGCAGAGCAGCGAACGGGUGAGUAACGCGUGGGGAAUCUGCCUUUGAGCGGGGGACAACAUUUGGAAACGAAUGCUAAUACCGCAUAACAACUUUAAACAUAAGUUUUAAGUUUGAAAGAUGCAAUUGCAUCACUCAAAGAUGAUCCCGCGUUGUAUUAGCUAGUUGGUGAGGUAAAGGCUCACCAAGGCGAUGAUACAUAGCCGACCUGAGAGGGUGAUCGGCCACAUUGGGACUGAGACACGGCCCAAACGCCUACAGGAGGCAGCAGUAGGGAAUCUUCGGCAAUGGACGAAAGUCUGACCGAGCAACGCCGCGUGAGUGAAGAAGGUUUUCGGAUCGUAAAACUCUGUUGGUAGAGAAGAACGUUGGUGAGAGUGGAAAGCUCAUCAAGUGACGGUAACUACCCAGAAAGGGACGGCUAACUACGUG
rnacentral:rRNA from 1 species